rnacentral:rRNA from 1 species
GCCUACGGGGGGCAGCAGUGGGGAAUAUUGCACAAUGGGGGAAACCCUGAUGCAGCGACGCCGCGUGAGUGAAGAAGUAAUUCGUUACGUAAAGCUCUAUCCGCAGGGAAGAAAUACUGACCUUACGGUCAGCAGACGGUACCUGAGUAAGAAGCCCCGGCUAACUACGUGCCAGCAGCCGCGGUAAUACGGAGGAUGCGAGCGUUAUCCGGAUUUAUUGGGUUUAAAGGGUGCGCAGGCGGAUUUUUAAGUCAGCGGUCAAAUCGUGGGGCUCAACCCCAUCCAGCCGUUGAAACUGGGGAUCU